rfam:Aspergillus oryzae strain BCC7051 OAory_C02, whole genome shotgun sequence.
GCGUGGGUAGUGUAACGGUUAUCAUCCUUGCCUUCCAAGCAAGGGACCCGGGUUCGACUCCCGGCCCACGCA